UUAAUUUGAUCAUGGCUCAGAACGNACGCGGGGUACAUGCCUAACACAUGCAAGUCGAACGCUCUUGGGAUUUCGGUCUCAAGGGAGUGGCGCACGGGUGAGUAGCGCGUGGGAACCUGCCCUGUUGUGGGGGAUAACCGAGGGAAACUUCGGCUAAUACCGCAUGCGCCCCGAGGCAAUUCGGGGGAGAGAUUUAUCGCAGCAGGAGGGGCUCGCGUCGGAUUAGCUGGUUGGUGGGGUAACGGCCUACCAAGGCACUGAUCCGUAGCUGGUCUGAGAGGAUGAUCAGCCACACUGGGACUGAGACACGGCCCAGACUCCUACGGGAGGCAGCAGUGGGGAAUAUUGGACAAUGGGGGCAAUUCUGAUCCAGCAAUGCCGCGUGAGUGAUGAAGG
rnacentral:rRNA from 1 species